CCCGCUGAACUUAAGCAUAUCAAUAAGCGGAGGAAAAGAAACUAACAAGGAUUCCCUUAGUAACUGCGAGUGAAGUGGGAAAAGCUCAAAUUUAAAAUCUGGCAGUCUGAAUUUACUUCUUUGGCUGUCCAAGUUGUAAUCUAGAGAAGUGCUACCUGUACUGGACCAUGUAUAAGUCUCCUGGGAUGGAGCAUCACAGAGGGUGAGAAUCCCGUCUAUGACAUGGACUACCAGUGUGUUGUGGAGUACUUUCAAAGAGUCGAGUUGUUUGGGAAUGCAGCUCUAAAUGGGUGGUAAACUCCAUCUAAAGCUAAAUAUUGGCGAGAGACCGAUAGUGAACAAGUACCGUGAGGGAAAGAUGAAAAGGACUUUGGAAAGAGAGUUAAACAGUACGUGAAAUUGUUGAAAGGGAAACACUUGGUGUCAGUUGUGUUAGCUGGGGAUCAGCCUAGCUUUUUCGCUUGGUGAAUUUCCUGGUCUGACAGGCCAACAUCAGUUUCGACUGUUGGAGAAAGGCAGACGGAAUGUGGCACCUUUGGGUGUGUUAUAGCUUUCUGUCAGAUGUAGCAGUCGGGACCGAGGAACGCAGCGCGCCUUACGGCCGGGGUUCGCUCUCGGUACGCGCUUAGGAUGCUGGCAUAAUGGCUUUAAGCGACCCGUCUUGAAACACGG
rnacentral:rRNA from 1 species